rnacentral:rRNA from 1 species
CCUACGGGAGGCAGCAGUGGGGAAUAUUGCGCAAUGGGCGAAAGCCUGACGCAGCGACGCCGCGUGAGGGAUGAAGGUCUUCGGAUCGUAAACCUCUGUCAGCAGGGAAGAACGGUCACUGUGCUAAUCAGCAAUGAAUUGACGGUACCUGCAAAGGAAGCACCGGAUAACUCGGUGCCAGCAGCCGCGGUAAUACGGAGGGUGCGAGCGUUAAUCGGCAUUACUGGGCGUAAAGCGCUCGUAGGCGGUAUGUCAAGUCAAGGGUGAAAUCCCCGCGCUCAACGUGGGAACUGCCUUUGAAACUGGCAAACGUGAGUGUGUGAGAGGAUAGUGGAAUUCCAGGUGUAGGAGUGAAAGCCGUAGAUAUCUGGAGGAACAUCAGCUGCGAAGGCGACUAUCUGGCACAUAACUGACGCUGAGGAGCGAAAGCGUGGGUAGCAAACAGGAUUAGAUACCCGGGUAGUC